AGUGAACGCUGGCGGUAGGCCUAACACAUGCAAGUCGAACGGCAGCACAGUAAGAGCUUGCUCUUACGGGUGGCGAGUGGCGGACGGGUGAGGAAUACAUCGGAAUCUACUUUUUCGUGGGGGAUAACGUAGGGAAACUUACGCUAAUACCGCAUACGACCUACGGGUGAAAGCAGGGGAUCUUCGAACCUUGCCCGAUUAAAUGGCCCGAUGUCGGAUUAGCUAGUUGGCGGGGUAAAGGCCCACCAAGGCGACGAUCCGUAGCUGGUCUGAGAGGAUGAUCAGCCACACUGGAACUGAGACACGGUCCAGACUCCUACGGGAGGCAGCAGUGGGGAAUAUUGGACAAUGGGCGCAAGCCUGAUCCAGCCAUACCGCGUGGGUGAAGAAGGCCUUCGGGUUGUAAAGCCCUUUUGUUGGGAAAGAAAAGCAGCAGGUUAAUACCCCGCUGUUCUGACGGUACCCAAAGAAUAAGCACCGGCUAACUUCGUG
rnacentral:rRNA from 1 species